UACGGAGGGUGCAAGCGUUAAUCGGAUUCAUUGGGUGUAAAGGGCGCGUAGGCGGAAGAAUAAGUCAGACGUGAAAGCCCGGGGCUCAACCCCGGAAUUGCAUCUGAAACUGUUUUUCUAGAGGGUGGACGGAGAGAACGGAAUUCCAGGAGUAGCGGUGAAAUGCGUAGAUAUCUGGAAGAACACCGGUGGCGAAGGCGGUUCUCUAGUUCACACCUGACGCUGAGGCGCGAAAGCUAGGGGAGCGAACAGG
rnacentral:rRNA from 1 species